AACAAGCUAUCAUGGAAGACGUUUCUAUAGUCCCAGUUUCCCAGAUUUGGUUCCUUACCUCAGUCUUCCUUUACUUCUCUCUCAGAUAUCUUACAACAUCUGAGUUUUUACUCCAAAACGAAUGAAAAUCUAAAUUGUAGACUCUCUUCAUCUUCUCUCCUACUCAGAUUCAUCAUUGAAACCCUAAGUUUUUUACAUCAUAACUAACCUGAAAUCAUUUGUUACUCCAUGAAAACUCUGUCACUAUGUACAUCGAUGGAAGAUUUUAAUCUGCCAACUCCAAUUGCAAACUGAAAAUACUGUUGGUAAUGAAAGAGCAGAUCAAGUGAGAUUCAAUCAGAUGUUCUAUGAACUUUUAGAUCUAAAUCAAAGGUUUUUUGGGUUUAAUGAUUAAGCUACAGAACCAGAUGGUGAAGGAGGAGUAAUUAGUAGUCUUAGAGAUCGAAAUCUAAGAGGUUAAAGGAUAUCUUAUCUAUCUGUAAGGAGAAUUCUAAGAAGUACAGUUUGGAUGGUGGUGAAACGGAUUGGAUGAACAGAUUCAACAACUUCAUGAGAAACAAAUUUUAAGGGCUUAUGACUGAAGAGUUGAGAAAUUUUUUGGAGUUUUACCUAAGUUUAGUUACUAAGCCGAAGAUUAAUUGGGUCAGAUAUCUUUGAAGAAACUAAGAUUCCCCGCCAAAGCAAUGAACUUAUUUUUGUACCUCUCUGCGGUGUCUGCUUCUGAAUUUGAUGUCAUGUUUCCAGUUAAUCUAGUGACACUGGGUAGCUAAAAUGUCCCGGUUAAUCUAUUUGAUGGUUCGCCUUAUUUAAAAAAUCCAAUUUUAAGCCUGUUAGGAUUAUAAUAUCCUGCGCACUUGCAUCUGGAAAAGGAGCACAAUGCAAACUCAGAAAGCAAAUAUGAAGUUGCUCAAGCACUAAUAACGCCAUUGUUCGACAUUUGUUAAGAACGCUCACUAGCUUUGGUGUGAUUCCGAUGAUGACGGGGAUAAGCUAUAACAUUAACUAGUUGGCAUCUAAUGGUUGCAUUUUGCACACUUCAUGGGGCACAAAGAUUCAGUGUUUUUGAGACCAAGGCAAUUGAUACCCAAACUGUAAUGCUAUUGGGUAUCAUAAAUGGCGUGUCUACUGGACUUCUCAAUUUAUGUCUUGGGUUCAAUUCCACUGGAUUCUACCACGUUAACUAUUUUGAUUUCAUCUUAUGGUCAUUUUUAAGAGAAUUAAGGAUCUGAUUAGUUUAGUUUGGUUGUAGUAGCGAAAGUUUAAUCCGGAUGAAAUGAUUUUUCUGUACAGACGACAAACAUGCAAUAUACCCUUUACAGUACUGUCGGGGACCCUGUUCCUUAACAAGGUAUGCGAUUCUGAGUUGCGCAGCUCAGUUCUUCAUCAGAUAGUUUAUCAUUUUGUUAGUUUGUACUUAUCUUUUAAGAAAACUUAGAACUUGUAUUGGUGCUCAUUUUGUUAGUUUGUACUUAUCUUUAAGAAAAUUUAGAACUUGUAUUGGUGCUGAUUCAGGUUUUGUUUACAAUUUUUGGUUAUUCUGAAUCCACGCUAUAAUCAGUGUGUUAUUCAUUCGUAUAAUGAAUUGUAAGCUUAAUUGAAUGGGAAUGAUUUACUUAAGAAUUCAGGUUGUAUUUGAAUGUAAAUUGAACUUUAGUU